AUCAAUAUUUCACAGCUCAGAUCCUUUUAACCAGCCUGAACGAGAAAAUUCCUCCGCUGCAGCUUCCUGAGCACCGAUCACAACCUCUAAACCUCUAGAAACCUCCGAGUUCAGAAACAGGAGCUUUAAACAUCCACACAAACCUCCUGUCUUUACAUCGGACCGCACAUAAAUCGAGGUUAGUUUCAUUUUUCUACAUCAACAGACCCAGAAACAGAGCAGAGACCACAGUGGAAGUCUUCAGGGUUGUUUCCACCUCGUCUCAAGCAGCAGGAAGAUUAUUCAAAUGAGACCAACAACAGAUUAAAAAGCUGCUGGAGAUGGGAUUUCUGAACAACACAGUCACGUCGGUGUUCCUCUGAUCUGACUGGGAGGUUUGAGUGGAAAAUAACAGGAGAAAAGCCCAAAACCUGAAUCCUGACAUUCACAGAGGGAAAUAAAAGACGCCUGUAAACUAUGAAGACAUUAAUGAGACCCGGCCUAUUCACUUAUGUCCUUUAUAAUGGACAUUAUGUUCACCUGUAUAUUUCUGAAGUAUUUGGAGUUACCCUUCCAAGCCCUAUUGUAUUCUGUAGGGAACAUCCUGGGCUUUCCAGUGAUGUGUCAUGUGAUGGGUUUGCAUGCUGGGAACUUUACUUUUUUCCUGUAUCAAGAUGGCUGCUAUACCAGCAACCACAUUUUAUGGAAAGAGGAGAGGUAAGUCAAAUAUUCAUUAUCUAUUGCUAUUUUUACCAUGAUAACUAUAUAUAUUCUUGUUCAUAAACAUGUUAAGAACAAUAUUUUUACAUCUGAAAACAGUUUCGUUAUUUAUGUUUUGAAAUAACAGGCCUUUAAUGAAUGUCAACUGUGGUGGACACCAGGACUAUUUUAAUGUAAUCAAUGACUGCAUAUUGUUGUAGGAGAAAGAAGUGAAGCAGAGAGGAUUCUAUACCAGAUAGUAGAGGGAGAUUCAGAUUUGGAGCUUUCAGAUGAGGAAAAGGAUGCAGAAGAUGAGUAUCAGCCUGUGACAGAUGAUGAUGAAGAAGGAGAAGAAGAAGAUGCAGGAGAAUCUGAUGAGACAGAGUCAGAGCCAGAGAGGGAGCAACAAAGUCGUCGUGAUCUAUGAUCCAGGACUAGCUUAUUGACACCUGUGCUACCUGUGCUUCCUGGCUAUCAAGAUGACCCUAAAAUUCGUGAAUACUGGAGUCCAAUCCAGUACUUUUCACAGUACAUUGAUGACAAAAUCUUUGAGGAUCUGGCAGCUUUUACAAAUCAAAGACAGCUGCAAACUUUUUGUUCAAAUUGAAUGUGUUCUUGGGUGAAUAUCAUUGUAAAGAUAUAAUAUGCUCCUUUUUUUCUCAUUUUCUACAUUCAGUUCUAUUUUCAGGCCGAUAUCGUCCUGCUGUCCUCUACAAUGGACAUGCUGUGAAAUUAAAAUAAAAAAUAUUUUUCAAAAAAUGAAAA